GUCUUAUAAGUAUGGUAGUAUAGUUGAUUUCCAAUUAAAAGGCCUUUGUUAAAAGUCAAGGAUAAGAUA
rnacentral:tRNA from 1 species